CCUUCACCAUCAUCAAAUUGUGAAUUAGUAAGACACUUUGUGUAAUAUCCACCAUGAAGGUUUUGUCUCCUGUCAUUGCGGUCAUACUAAUUCUCCUCUUCUCUUUUUCGGGCAAUCUGAUGGCCGCACAAAAGUAUUGUAAUGGCACACCGUACCAAAUGCCAUGCAGCGAAGCGGAAUGCAAAAAGCUCUGCACUGCCUAUACCUAUCGUGGAAAUUCCUUUUGUCUCGCUAAAUCUACUUGUUGUUGCAAUUAAUUAUUGUAUUGUAUUACUAGCUUGUUCCUUAAAUAAGAGACAAGCACGAGAAAUAAAUGCCUUUAUGAGUUAAAUUUUAUGGUUAAGUAAUGCGCUCC